rnacentral:rRNA from 1 species
UACAGAGGGGGCAAGCGUUAUUCGGAAUUAUUGGGCGUAAAGGGCGCGUAGGCGGUGUCUUAAGUGAGAUGUGUAAUCCCCGAGCUUAACUUGGGAACUGCAUCUCAGACUGGGGCGCUAGAGUACUGGAGAGGGUGGUAGAAUUCCACGUGUAGCGGUGAAAUGCGUAGAGAUGUGGAGGAAUACCAGUGGCGAAGGCGGCCACCUGGACAGUAACUGACGCUGAGGCGCGAAAGUGUGGGGAGCAAACAGGAUUAGAUACCCUGGUAGUCCACGCUGUAAACGAUGAACACUUGGUGUGGCGGGAGUUGACCCCUGCCGUGCCGGAGCUAACGCGAUAAGUGUUCCGCCUGGGGAGUACGGUCGCAAGGCUGAA